UGGGUACAUGAAGGACUCAAAGUGGAAAAGGAAAAUAGAAGUGCAAAGAUAAAGUUAGAGAACUGUGGUGGCAUGUCGGAGUAAAUAAGGAGCGACCGACCACUGAAAAUAGUUAGAGACACCUCCGAACAAAUAGCGACUUAAAAUCUCAUUGUUGCUAGGUUUCCUGAGUUAAAGGUGAUUGGAUCCUAGGACGAGGUG
rnacentral:sRNA from 1 species